GACCAAUGUCCUCAUUUUUGCAGGUGACGAAAUGGAGAAUCAAAGAAGUAAAGGAGCUGCCUCAGAGUCACACUACUAGGAAAUCCUGAGGGGUUUGACAUUUUUCAUCCUCCAGCCAUUAAUCGUCCUGUAGGGAAAGGCUAUACAUUGGUAGGAGUAAAAAGCAAGCAGUUCCUGGCCAGUGAUACUCCAGUUAAAGAUGUCUGACUGACAAGCAUGUUGGCACCAGCAUUGAAGGAAGUGAUGGGCUUUGGCUCCAGGUUCCUGUCCUGAGACCACAGCAGGAUGUGCCUUGGACAAAGGCUUGGACUCCUGGAUCAUCUGGUGACUUCAAAUAUCUGGUCUCAGGGUGGUGAACCUCUUCUCUGAAUUCCUAACCUGUGAGCUUAUGAUGAUGGUGCCUGUCAAUUAACUGAACAACACUGGAGCUCCACAGAGAACAUCUGUCUCUAGGACUAUAAAUUUGGUACUUUUUACCAGCUCUAAAUUUUCUCUAUUGCUUAAGAGUAUUAGAGAUCACAGCUUACUCCCAUCAUUUAGGGACUAACAAUGUGGAAAAUUGAGUGAACUCAAUAUGAUCACCACUCAAGAGUUCUCCCUGUGAACCAAAGUCUUCUUUAAAUUUUGAAAUAACUUCCAAACAAGAAGGCAGAAAGGAAAAGUGUG